GAUGAAUGCAGCAAGGAUCAGAGAAGGGAAUAUAUUAAGGCCUGAUAGAGUUGCUACUGCACAUAAGGGAGGUUCAGGUGAUCCUUUGUCCGCAGCAACAAAUGCUCACAAUGCUUCGAAACGAAAACGAGUAUAUGUCGAACCACAAAGUCAAGAGUAUGGGAUGCAUGAUCGUGACACACUUAAUUACACAAUGG